CUCAGAACGAACGCUGGCGGCAGGCCUAACACAUGCAAGUCGAACGCCCCGCAAGGGGAGUGGCAGACGGGUGAGUAACACGUGGGAACCUGCCCUAUAGUACGGAAUAGCCCAGGGAAACUUGGAGUAAUACCGUAUACGCCCGAAAGGGGAAAGAAUUUCGCUAUAGGAUGGGCCCGCGUAGGAUUAGCUAGUUGGUGAGGUAAUGGCUCACCAAGGCGACGAUCCUUAGCUGGUUUGAGAGAACGACCAGCCACACUGGGACUGAGACACGGCCCAGACUCCUACGGGAGGCAGCAGUGGGGAAUAUUGGACAAUGGGCGCAAGCCUGAUCCAGCCAUGCCGCGUGAGUGAUGAAGGCCUUAGGGUUGUAAAGCUCUUUUGCCGGGGACGAUAAUGACGGUACCCGGAGAAUAAGUCCCGGCUAACUUCGUGCCAGCAGCCGCGGUAAUACGAAGGGGACUAGCGUUGUUCGGAAUCACUGGGCGUAAAGCGCAAAUAGGCGGAUUUGUAAGUCAGGGGUGAAAUCCCGGGGCUCAACCUCGGAACUGCCUUUGAUACUGCGAAUCUUGAGUCCGAUAGAGGUGGGUGGAAUUCAAAGCGUACAGGUGAAAUUCGUAGAUAUUAGAAAGAACACCGGUGGCGAAGGCGGCCCACUGGAUCGGUACUGACGCUGAGGUGCGAAAGCUGGGGAGCUAACCAGCAUGGGAUACCCUGGUAGUC
rnacentral:rRNA from 1 species